rnacentral:rRNA from 1 species
AUUGAACGCUGGCGGCAUGCCUUACACAUGCAAGUCGAACGGCAGCACGGGAGCAAUCCUGGUGGCGAGUGGCGAACGGGUGAGUAAUAUAUCGGAACGUGCCCAGUAGUGGGGGAUAACUGCUCGAAAGAGCAGCUAAUACCGCAUACGACCUGAGGGUGAAAGGGGGGGAUCGCAAGACCUCUCGCUAUUGGAGCGGCCGAUAUCAGAUUAGCUAGUUGGUGGGGUAAAGGCCUACCAAGGCAACGAUCUGUAGUUGGUCUGAGAGGACGACCAGCCACACUGGGACUGGGACACGGCCCAGACUCCUACGGGAGGCAGCAGUGGGGAAUUUUGGACAAUGGGCGCAAGCCUGAUCCAGCAAUGCCGCGUGCAGGAAGAAGGCCUUCGGGUUGUAAACUGCUUUUGUCAGGGAAGAAAUCCUCUAGGUUAAUACCCUUGGGGGGAUGACGGUACCUGAAGAAUAAGCACCGGCUAACUACGUGCCAGCAGCCGCCGUAA